rnacentral:lncRNA from 1 species
ACUGACACUGCGUUUUUGAUUCUGUUUCGUAUAACACCUAUGGAUGCAGUUUGCCUCAGGGAAAUGAUGGAUGUCAAAAUGAAGUUCUGAACUGGUUCAAUCAAAAAAGAUGGCUACCUGCCACACCUAUAACAACACGUCCAGGCACAACGCUGUCAACAGGGACUUCAUGGCCGCUCUCUCCAAGAACCACGGGAGCACAGGAAAACGCAACAGUCCCCAGUCCACCAACAGAACCAAUGCCAUAGGCAUGCCAAAGUCUGCCCCCAAUGACAAGACACCCUGCAGUAUGCCAAGGUCGAUAUCCUCUGAGACCACCAGUUCCUCCUUGGCCUCCAAGCCCGCCAGUGUGAAGAAGUCUGCCUUGUCCCACCUCAAGAGGUUCCUCAUGCUGGAAGACAACCAGAAGACCAAGACCAAGGGGAGGACUCCGACUUACACUCCUCCUUCUGAAGACUGACAAACACUUGGCUCCACUGCAAUGACCAACAGUCAGCCAUUACACCACCAUGAUAUGACACUGACGCACCAGGCUCUCUCUGGCCUGCUUGCAAUUCAGAAUUGUCCUCUUGGAAUUCAGAACAACGGGGGAUGGGUCAGCAGUCAGUCAAUAAGUGAUACAGGGCCUCCUGUUGCACUAACUUUAAAAAAUAUAUAUUUUUUUUUACUUCCCAUGCCCCCCCCUCCCCCCAACUACCCCUGAGGUCCCCCUUCUGUAGAGCUGUUCAAACAUUAAUUGUCCCACACCACGGCAUCAUUCAGGAAUUCCAUUGUCCCUAUGAAUGGCGGGAACGGCAUCGGAAGCAAAGCUCCCCCUUUUCUUCCAUGUUAUUUAUGACGAGGCAAGCAGAAUAACUCAUUUCAAGUUAUAGGAUGUUUUGAUUGAGAGGAUGAUUUUAUUUAUUUGUUACAAUCACAUUUAUAUGAUAAAUGACAUACACAUUUAUAUUCAUGCUUAAGUUUCAUGCUUCUUGAAGUAUGUUUUUACUUGGUUGUCAUUUAUUUUCGUAGACUUAACUUUAUCUCACUCUUCUCUUGUGAGGUUACCAGCCAAGUAGAGCUGCUCUGUAGCUGUUUACAGGUUUGUUUGUGUGGCUCUACUAUUUUAUGAUCACUGCCAAAUGUUUUACUUUUAUGUAAAGGUCAAAUUUUUAUGUACUGGUGGUUUUGAGAUCAUAUUUGGCUGAAUGGGACGCAUCAACUGGUAACAUUGAUAUCGUUUAUAUGCCUGAACUUUAAUGACAAUGCAAACGUGACUUUCUUUCAGUAGUUUCAUGUUUGUUGAAGAUGGGUUUUGCUGUUUGAAGGCUUCAGUUUUUACCUGUUAGUUUUGAAAUUAUUAUAUAUAUUUUUUCAACGUUAGUUUAACAAUGUCUAUUAGACUGCUUUUGUUCCAACACACUUUCUAUUGUAUUUAGUGACAUGUUUAAUUAAUCCAAUGUGUGGGUCUGUAGCAUUUCACAGAAUACUGAAAUACCUCACAUUUUAUAUUCCUUUUACACCUUGCUUCUGUGAAAUAAAAAUGUUUUCUGGGCUUCUUA